GCUCCCACAGGCAGCGGUGGUGCUGUUGGUAGCAGGUGGCGGGGGUGAGUGUUGACCAGAGGUCGGCGACCACCUGCAGACACCGCCAGCAACAGUGGCAGUGGCCAGCAGCAAUUGGGGACCUCCUGCAGACACCGCUGACAGUGUCGGUAGCAAAGGGGAGUGGGGGUGUGGUGAGCAGUGACUGCCCGCAGGCACUGUCGGCAGUGUCAGCAGUGCUUUUUUGCAGGGGGUGCAUGUACACCCCCUACGUGUUGCCAGUGAUUGUUCUGAUUGUAAGUUGACCCUGCAUAGAAGCCAACAUUUUCAUGUUCAAUUUUAAGGUAAAAAAGCUUUCUCCCUGAUUAUAAGUCAUUAUCUACAAAUCAAGACCUUGAACUGCUACUGCCCUUACAGAAUCGAAUCCUGCAACAAAAUCUAAUAACCCAUAAGAAAGGAUCCAAAGGGUUAAAGAUACUAAAAAGCCUAAAAUAAAAAAGCAUCUUCUGUCCCAAAGAUAAUUUUGCCCAAGGCUCAGCAUAUUGUAUUCAGUCUAAAAUUCCAGGCCAAUAUGUAUCAAGACAAAUAUUUUUAUUUAAAUAGAAACUGUUUGCAGGUUUAAACAAGACUGGCUCUUAUUAAAAGGCCAAAUUUGAAUUGCCAGAUCUGGAUUCUAACCUCGUGUGACAUGUACAGCACAAGCCUGUGAUCCACAUUUUCCCUAGUCUUUAAAAGACAUGGGGAAGGAGAAAAUGGAUGGUUGUAUGGGAAUUUUCUGACAUCUUGUUUUUGUUUUGCUUUGUUGGGAAAUGCUAAUUUGUUGCAUCCAAAAUGUUUCAUUAUUGGUUUUGAACGACUUCCAGUGAAAUGCAGGCAGGGUUCCAACACAAAACUGUGUGGUUUCCUGCCAGCUCCCCUUGCAGGCUCUUCCCUGGCUCUGUGGCUCCAGUGGUGAUAUGCUACACGGUCUGCCCCAUAAUUGAAGAACCAAGGAUUCCCAGCUCCCUGUUCCCUGCAAUGGAAUUAGGGGUCUGGAAGCCUUAACUCGACACUAGACUCUUAGGAUUUAUGAGGUCUUACUUUUUAUGUUGGAAGAUUAAUGCCUGCUUCCCACUUCAGUGGAGCAGACCAGAGAGAUCCCUGGGAACUGUGUGGGGGUGGCAGUCUGGGUCACCUAGCUAUUCUGGUCCUUCCUCACCUAAGCUGAGCCCACCACCAUGACAGAGCCGGUGACCCUGCAUGACACUCUUCAGAGUCAGCCAGUCAGGCCCCAAGGGUGCCACACAGGGGUCAUCUGCUCCAGCAUGGUGGAAGUGGUUCAGCUGACUUCAGCAUGGCCCUUUUAAAAGCCAUGCUGACUGGCACUUGAGACUGCUGCAGGAAGAGAGUCAACUGUUCUGUACAAGACUACCAUAUUGUUCCAAUCAUAGGCUGACCCCACAUAUGAAUGGUUCUUUUUGAAAGGGGAAAAAGGUUGAUCUAUAAUCAGGACAACAUGGUACUAUUGGUCUCCACAACAUCCUGUAGCACUGAGUUUCACGUGUUAAUUAUACAGCGGUGAAAAAGCACUUCCUUUUUGUUGUUUUAAACCUCUUGGCUGAUACUUUCAUUACAUGCCCCCUAGUUCUUGCAUUAUGCUACAGUAAAUAACAGUUCCCUAGUCACUUUUUUAUACCAUUCAUGAUUUUAUGGCCCUCUGUCAUAUCCCUCCUCAGUCAGGAUCUUUCCAAGAUGAAGGGAUCCUACCUUCCCAGUCUCUCUUGAUAUGAAAGCUGUCCCAUUCCUCUAUCUUUCUUUGUUCUUAUAUUUUAAGAUGGCGUGACCAGAGCUGCACACAGUUUCAACAUAUGGGAAGGCCGUAGAUGUAUGUAAUAGCCUAAUUAAGUUCCUCUGCUUUAUGUUUCAUUUCUUUCCUAGUGAUUCCUAAUAUUUUAUUUCCCUUUUUGACCCCUACUGUACAUUAAAAUGAUGUUUUUAGAGAACUUUUCACAGUGAACUAAACUCCAAGAUCACUUUCCCAUGUGGUAACAAUGUUUGGGUGAAUGCUGUGACCUACAGUCGGGUUUUUAAGGGAUAAAUCCUUGCCUAAGAAGCAAUAAUAAUCUGCUUUACAGAUAAUAAUCUGAUGCAAUAAUAAAUGUGCACUCAGAUUGCAGGGCUGCCCAAGCAUCUAGCUACUGUGAAUAGUGUAAGGCAGUGUGGAGUAAUGUUGUAGCCAGGAUGCUCCAAGAAUUAUGUGAAGCAAGGAUUUUUGUCCGUAACAUCUUUUACUGGACCAACUGUGUGGUUGGGUUGAAGUUAAAGAAGCAUUCUAAUGCUACUGCAGCAUGGUAAGACAAUCCUGCUGCUCCAUUCAUUUCAAAGGAAGAAUGUGGUGGGCCACAUCACUAAAGCAUUCAUUUUGAAAGCUUUUAGCAGCUAUUAGAUUAGCUGAACCUGCCCUCAGAUCAUAUUCAGCCAAUGGAUGCUUCUUCUGAUGACGUGUCUCUAUGCUGGAUUUCGUUCAUUCAGUGCAUAUUGCCAUUCUCUGCAAGGGUGCCUCCUGCAACAGCCUUUUCAGUCUUUCUUGUAUGAUCCAGCUCUUAAUUAAAUUAAUUCAGUUGUUUAUAUGAUGCACAUUCUGAUUUCUAACAGCAUGGAGCUGGGUGAAUAACCUGCAACAAACAGUUUAUUCAAUUAAUAUUUUUGUUUUUUCUGUCCCCAGACUGCUUGUGAAGAGGUGUUAAUUGCCUCCUUUUAUAUAAUAAAAAGAGAAAUUUCUGAUUUUUUUGAUGGGGAAUACCUUACAUCCUGAGGUCCACAUGAUGUUUUACACUGAUUUCACCUCCACAUGUUUAUCUGCUAGACAGAGCUGUAUAAUGAAGCAUGGCCAGUCUCAGGGGGUUUUGCAGGCUCUUGAUAUUGCGGGGCUGUGAGCUCAGUGAGAGGCAGUGUGCAUGUCUAAUCCCUAAAUACAAAAACAGGCUUCCUUUUGGUUUACACUGAAUUUGUUAAAUGCAUGAUUGUUGAUUGUUUGCCCAUGUAAUGAUGCACAUGGGGUUUAGGACAAUUUGAAAAUAUUAAUAAGCAUGGCAACAUUUAAAUAAUACAUCAGACAAAACCAUCCUCUAGCUCAAAGGAGCAUGUCAAGAUAAAUUCACAGAAAGCAGGAAAAUGAAAAGACUUUUUCUUUAUCUCUAUUACAUACUAAAAGUGCCUAUACGGCUGUUUACACUGAGAGCCUGAUUUAGCAGCUUUGCACUGAGCUAGUGGAAUCAGCCUGUAUCUGGAGUAAUAUAAAAGCACAUUGAAUUGGUACAGAGUUGGUUAGUAUACUUUUACACGAGUGGAACUUUUGGUUUAUGUUUUACAGUUCAUUCAGCUUGGGCAGUGAAAAAGGAGCAGCCUAUUUCACUUUGGCUAGGACCCUCAAAAGUAUUUAGACAACUAAGUCAGAUGGGAGGUGACUUUGAGGAUCUAAGUCUGUCUGAUUCAUUACUUUUGUUUCCUGGUUCAGAUACAGUGAUAUAACAGCUUCGUGUUUGCAUUUCCAGUGCUGUGGUUGGGUGUUUAAAGUUUUUAAAAAAGGCUUCAGUGAAUGCUUAAUUCAUAAAUGCAAAACAUUUUAUCUGGAUCAGGCUUGAAUUAUCCCUCUCUUUCCCUUCUUUUUGGAUUUUUUGCAAAACCUAGCUGUCAUGCUUAAGCUAUUUGAUAAAAUCCCUUUCAUCGCUGAUUAGCUGACCCAGAGAAUACACUUGUUGGCUUCAUAUGACACUUUCAUCAGCUGCAAAUAGGAUUUGGACCAGUUAAACAUUAAUCUACACGUCCUCCAGAGUUCUUGAGUAGAGAGAGGUAGUUAGCCAUGUUAGUCUGAAGUCCGGCAGAAAGCAAAGCAAGGUGGAAUGAGACUAAUUGCUUAAGAGCAUUUGGCAAGAGCUUAACCUACAAGAGUGUCUACUUCUCUGAACCAGUUAAUCUCCAGAGUUUUUGAGGCUCCUUGCAAUGUGAAAGUGCAGUGGGUACAGAUGAACUGGAGCCAAGUAGUUUCACUGCAACUGCAAGAAAAUAAAAUAAAAAGGGGAUAUUUCAUUGUGGUGACAAAACUGUGGUGUGACAUCAGAAUCUGGAAAGUUUCAUUGUGGAUGGCAACAACUCUAACUUUUCAAAGAAGCUGCUGUUUUUAAACCAAUACGAAUUUGGACCCCAGUGGUCUAAAGAUGUACAUGAGCGCAUGUGGGAAUUGCCCAUAUGAUGUGGUUGCCUAAUUUUGCAACAAAAAUAGCUCUAGCAUACAGCCAGUACAUUUUCAUCCAAGCCACAAGUGCCAAAAGUGAAAUGCAGCCAAAAUUGAAAUAAGAUUUCAAUUUCUACAUAACAUUGACCUAGGCUUCAUAGAAGAUUGUUUACAUGUAUGCGUGUGGUGGGGGGAAGGAGUUGGAAGGAGGCAAAGGAGGGGAGAAGCCAAUCUUCAGAUUUUAGCUUCACUGCCUCCUCUGAGGGACCCAGCUCAUCUAAUGCCUGGACCUGGGAAAAAGAGUGCAUCUCACAUGGUCAAUCAGCAGCUGGGUCAGGCCAGUCUGUGGGGGAAAGGAGUCCAGAAGAGCUGAUUGUACUUUGAAGAAACCUUACUGAGGGCUCAGGAAUGAACCAUUCCUGUGUUUAGGAAGACUAGUGAGUAUGGCAAAAGACCAGCUUGGCUUAGCAGGGAACUCUUCAGUGAGCUAAAACACAGAAAGGAAGCUUACAAGAAAUGCAAACUUGAACAACUGACUGGGAGGAAUAUGAGUAUUGGUCAAGUAUACAGGGAUGAAAUCAGGAAGGCCAAGUCCAAUUGAAGUUGUAGAUAGCAAGGGGGUGUGAAGGGUAACAAGAAGGGUUUGUACAAAUAUGUCAGCAACAAGAGGAAUAUCGGAAACUGUGCGUCCCUUACUGAAUGGGAGAAUCAGCCUAGUGACAGAUGAUGGGGAAAAGGCUGAAGUUGUAGCAAAACCCCCAGGUUUGUUUUUUUUUUAAAUUAAAAUGCAUUCCCUCCCCUCCCACAACCAUUUUUUACUUUCUUUCUGCCCUCUCUAUCCCUUAUAAGUGAUUAUAAGUAGUACUAGGUAAGCUAAGAUUCUUAUACUCCCUUAUAGUAACAAGCCCCUUUUAUAUUGUAAAUAGUGUCCUAUUAUGUUUGCAUUGAUUUUUACUGUUUUAUAUUGUAUUAUAUUAUGUUCCUAUUAUGUUUGUAUUGAUUUUUACUGUUUUAUAUUGAAUCUAUAUGAUUUAGGCCUAUGUUCGUAAAGUAAUGUCAAGUUUCCAUUUUGAAUGUCAAGCCUCCAUCUUGUGUCCUCUGCCCAGGUGUAACCUAUGCUGUAACUGUGACUCAUGUCUAACCAGUCUCAUGUAAAUUGGUUCCUGAAUGAAUGAGAAUGAAUGAGGGUGCUUGAGGUAUGAUGGUAGCAGGCCUCUACUGAAUAAUCAGCUCAACAGCUGGACCAUCAACCCAAUGACUAGACUAUUGCCUUGCAUUGGCUCACCCAGGACCUCACCCAGGAACAGAACAGAAACCUAGCAAUUGAAAGAUAACAGGAACCCAACAUUUGGAAGACAAAGACCCUACAGAAACCAGCAACUCCACCAUUAUGUCCUACCAGACAAUGAGGACACCUGGAUCUGCACGUAGGCAUCUGAGCAGGACUGCCCUUGCCUGGACAUGUCCCUCUCAUAGGAGACACAGGUAGCCCACCCCUAUAAAAGGGGUGGUAGAAUGUGACUUCUUUGGGACGCCCUCACCAUCUGGACCAGCACUACACCAUACCACCUAUCUACCCAGAGGCCCUGCUGGCGACCCUGCUCUGGACAACACCUUGCUAGAGAAGACCCUGACUGGCCAUCGAGGAUCAACUCUCAGCCUGGGAUAGGUAGCUAUCAUGAUUCCCUUCUUUCCUCAAGCAAGGAACCUGAACUCUGUCUCUACAUACCUGGAUCUCAAAUCCUUCUGUUAAGCCUUUCCUCUCCUGCUACCAUUGUGUGGGGGUGUGUGUGAGUGUUUGCGUGUGUGUAUGGGAACCAAUAACUUUGUGGGGUUGUGUAGUGUGUUGCCUGUUUAAUAAAACUGUUACUUUGGAACCCUGA